UACGUAGGGGGCGAGCGUUGUUCGGAUUUACUGGGCGUAAAGGGCGCGUAGGCGGUCAGCACAAGUCAGUUGUGAAAUCUCCGGGCUUAACUCGGAAAGGUCAACUGAUACUGUGCGACUAGAGUGCAGAAGGGGCAACUGGAAUUCUCGGUGUAGCGGUGAAAUGCGUAGAGAUCCGGAGGAACACCAGAGGCGAAGGCGGCCUACUGGGUCAGUACUGACGCUGAGCCGCGAAAGCCAGGGGAGCGAACGGG
rnacentral:rRNA from 1 species